rnacentral:rRNA from 1 species
UGCGAGUGAAGCGGGAAAAGCUCAAAUUUAAAAUCUGGCGGUCAUUUCUGGCUGUCCGAGUUGUAAUCUAGAGAAGUGUUACCCGCGCUGGACCGUGUACAAGUCUCCUGGAAUGGAGCGUCAUAGAGGGUGAGAAUCCCGUCUUYUGACACGGACUGCCAGGGCUUUUGUGGUGCGCUCUCAAAGAGUCGAGUUGUUUGGGAAUGCAGCUCAAAAUGGGUGGUAAAUUCCAUCUAAAGCUAAAUAUUGGCGAGAGACCGAUAGCGAACAAGUACCGUGAGGGAAAGAUGAAAAGAACUUUGGAAAGAGAGUUAAACAGUACGUGAAAUUGCUGAAAGGGAAACGCUUGAAGUCCAGUCGCGUUGGCCGGGGAUCAACCUUGCUUUUGCUGGGUGUACUUUUCCGGUCGACGGGUCAGCAUCAGUUUUGACCGUCGGAUAAAGUCUGGAGGAAUGUGGCAUCUUUGGAUGUGUUAUAGCCUCUGGUCGCAUACGACGGUUGGGACUGAGGAACUCAGCACGCCGAAAGGCCGGGUACUCGUACCACGUUCGUGCUCAGGAUGCUGGCAUAAUGGCUUCAAUCGACCCGUCUUGAAACACGGACCAAGGAGUCUAACAUGCCUGCGAGUGUYUGGGUGGAAAACCCGAGCGCGCAAUGAAAGUGAAAGUUGAGAUCCCUGUCGUGGGGAGCAUCGACGCCCGGACCAGAAGUUUACUGACGGACCCGCGGUARAGCAUGUAUGUUGGGACCCGAAAGAUGGUGAACUAUGCCUGAAUAGGGUGAAGCCAGAGGAAACUCUGG